AUGAACGCUGGCGGCGUGCCUAAUACCUGCAAGUCGAGCGCACAGACGAGGAGCUUGCUCCUCUGACGUUAGCGGCGGACGGGUGAGUAACACGUGGAUAACCUACCUAUAAGACUGGGAUAACUUCGGGAAACCGGAGCUAAUGCCGGAUAAUAUAUUGAACCGCAUGGUUCCAUAGUGAAAGACGGUUUUGCUGUCACUUAUAGAUGGAUCCGCGCCGCAUUAGCUAGUUGGUAAGGUAACGGCUUACCAAGGCGACGAUGCGUAGCCGACCUGAGAGGGUGAUCGGCCACACUGGAACUGAGACACGGUCCAGACUCCUACGGGAGGCAGCAGUAGGGAAUCUUCCGCAAUGGGCGAAAGCCUGACGGAGCAACGCCGCGUGAGUGAUGAAGGUCUUCGGAUCGUAAAACUCUGUUAUUAGGGAAGAACAAAUGUGUAAGUAACUAUGCACGUCUUGACGGUACCUAAUCAGAAAGCCACGGCUAACUACGUG
rnacentral:rRNA from 1 species